GACGAACGCUGGCGGCGUGCUUAACACAUGCAAGUCGAACGAAGUGGCGAACGGGUGAGUAACGCGUAAUCAACCUGCCCUUCAGAGGGGGACAACAGUUGGAAACGACUGCUAAUACCGCAUACUGAAGGAGGGGAUUGCGUCUGAUUAGCUAGUUGGAGGGGUAAAGGCCCACAAAGGCGAUGAUCAGUAGGCGGUCUUGGAGGAAUAACCGCCAACUUGGGACUGGGACACGGCCCAGACCUCUACGGGAGGCAGGCGUGGGGAAUCUUCCGCAAUGGACGAAAGUCUGACGGAGCAACGCCGCGUGAGUGAUGACGGCCUUCGGGUUGUAAAGCUCUGUUAAUCGGGACGCGGUACCGGAAUAGAAAGCCACGGCUAACUACGUGCCAGCCGCCGCGGUAAUUC
rnacentral:rRNA from 1 species